rnacentral:rRNA from 1 species
GAUCCUGGCUCAGGAUGAACGCUAGCUACAGGCUUAACACAUGCAAGUCGAGGGGAAACGACAUCGAAAGCUUGCUUUGAUGGGCGUCGACCGGCGCACGGGUGAGUAACGCGUAUCCAACCUGCCCAUCACUUGGGGAUAACCUUGCGAAAGUAAGACUAAUACCCAAUGACGUCUCUAGAAGACAUCUGAAAGAGAUUAAAGAUUUAUCGGUGAUGGAUGGGGAUGCGUCUGAUUAGCUUGUUGGCGGGGUAACGGCCCACCAAGGCGACGAUCAGUAGGGGGUUCUGAGAGGAAGGUCCCCCACAUUGGAACUGAGACACGGUCCAAACUCCUACGGGAGGCAGCAGUGAGGAAUAUUGGUCAAUGGGCGAGAGCCUGAACCAGCCAAGUAGCGUGCAGGAUGACGGCCCUAUGGGUUGUAAACUGCUUUUAUAAGGGAAUAAAGUGAGUCUCGUGAGACUUUUUGCAUGUACCUUAUGAAUAAGGACCGGCUAAUUCCGUG